rnacentral:rRNA from 1 species
UCGAGCGGANCGAAGAGGAGCUUGCUCCUUUGGCGUCGAGCGGCGGACGGGUGAGUAAUGCUUGGGAAUGUGCCUUAUGGUGGGGGACAACAGUUGGAAACGACUGCUAAUACCGCAUAAUGUCUUCGGACCAAAGUGGGGGACCUUCGGGCCUCACGCCAUAAGAUCAGCCCAAGUGGGAUUAGCUAGUUGGUAAGGUAAUGGCUUACCAAGGCGACGAUCCCUAGCUGGUUUGAGAGGAUGAUCAGCCACACUGGGACUGAGACACGGCCCAGACUCCUACGGGAGGCAGCAGUGGGGAAUAUUGCACAAUGGGCGCAAGCCUGAUGCAGCCAUGCCGCGUGUGUGAAGGAGGCCUUCGGGUUGUAAAGCACUUUCAGUAAGGAGGAAAGGUUAAGUGUUAAUAGCACUUAGCUGUGACGUUACUUACAGAAGAAGCACCGGCUAACUCCGUGCCGGCAGCCGCGGUAAUACGGAGGGUGCGAGCGUUAAUCGGAAUUACUGGGCGUAAAGCGUACGCAGGCGGUUUGUUAAGCGAGAUGUGAAAGCCCCGGGCUCAACCUGGGAACUGCAUUUCGAACUGGCAAACUAGAGUGUGAUAGAGGGUGGUAGAAUUUCAGGUGUAGCGGUGAAAUGCGUANAGAUCUGAAGGAAUACCGAUGGCGAANGCAGCCACCUGGGUCAACACUGACGCUCAUGUACGAAAGCGUGGGGAGCAAACANGANUANAUACCCUGGUAGUCCACGCCGUAAACGAUGUCUACUAGAAGCUCGACUCUUCGGANUUGUUUUUCAAAGCUAACGCAUUAAGUANACNGCCUGGGG